GGUCAUCCAAAUCAUACUUCUUUGUCUUAUCACCUCUAUCAAGAAAAGGAACCGGAGUUGCCCCAGGAACAGGUGUAUAAAGCACAGCCACUGUCUCAUCCUCUUUCGGCUGUGAUUCCAUCAUCUUACCAUGAAACCUUGUAUUCACCUUACUAACUUCUUUCGUCAAUCCCUUAAGCCUCUCAGCUCUUUCUUCUUCAGUCAAGGCUACUUCCCCAUUAUCCGCCGGAUGAUACAUCAGCAAAUUCUUAGCAGCAUAUUUCCACCCUUCCAAUGUAGCCACUGGCUGAUCUGAUGUCCCAUAUCCAUCAGUAACUACCUUCGCCCUCUUAGAAUCCUCAAUCAACUUCAUCUCCUCCUCCUUUUCACCUUCCAACAAAUACCCAUAUUUCUCCUUCCUUUUCCUGUUCACUUUCUCAAUAAGCUUCGAAAAACUCUCAUUAUCCUCACUCGUAUACCUCCUAAAAAACUCAUCUAAACUCAAAGACCCAUCCACCUCACCACCACCACCACCUUCCGCAUUAUCCCCAACACUAGACCAAUUAUUACCAUUAACUACACUAGGAGUGGGAGUUUUAUAAGGAUCUUCAAACGGAGUAGUCGAAUUCCGAAAGAAAGUCGAACCAGGGGUUCGUAAUUUACCUUCAGUAUUCGAUCCAACAGCUCUACCUCCCCUUCGUUCAAUAAUUUUCAACUGAGCAUCACGAAUUUGAACCGGAUCGCCUGUACGAAUCGCUUCAAGCCAAUCAAGACGAUCGCGAAGCUUGGGGAUAUCUGGGAAGAAAUCACGCUCGAUUAUUUUCUCUAUUGCAGCCACGUAGGUGUCCUCAUCGAGUACUCUCGAUCGGCGCUUAUUGGUUGGUGCUAUAGAAGAAUUACUGUUGUGGAGGGUUGAAUUAGGGUUUUGCUCGGCCAAUGACGGCGAAGGAGACGGCGUUGAUAGGUGGCGCGGGGAGUGUCCCGGCGAUAACAACAUGGUUGAUGAAGAUCGGAAAGUUUAAAGGGUAAUUUGUGUA
rnacentral:misc_RNA from 1 species